rnacentral:tRNA from 1 species
UGCAGGGUAGUGAAGUGGUCAUCACCCUAGGCUCAUACCCUAGAGAUCGGUUGUUCGAAUCAACCCCCUGCUCCCG